rnacentral:rRNA from 1 species
UACGGGGGGAGCAAGCGUUGUUCGGAUUUACUGGGCGUAAAGGGCGCGUAGGCGGCCACCGCAAGUCGGUUGUGAAAUCUCCGGGCUUAACCCGGAACGGUCAGCCGAUACUGCAGGGCUAGAGUGCAGAAGGGGCAACCGGAAUUCUCGGUGUAGCGGUGAAAUGCGUAGAUAUCGAGAGGAACACCUGCGGCGAAGGCGGGUUGCUGGGCUGACACUGACGCUGAGGCGCGAAAGCUAGGGGAGCGAACGGG